rnacentral:rRNA from 1 species
ACACUCGGGAAACCGGAGCUAAUACCGGAUAAGAUAUCGAACCGNCAUGGUUCGAUAGUGAAAGAUGGUUUUGCUAUCACUUAUAGAUGGACCCGCGCCGUAUUAGCUAGUUGGUGAGGUAACGGCUCACCAAGGCAACGAUACGUAGCCGACCUGAGAGGGUGAUCGGCCACACUGGAACUGAGACACGGUCCAGACUCCUACGGGAGGCAGCAGAC